rnacentral:rRNA from 1 species
GACGUAGGGUGCAAGCGUUGUCCGGAUUUUAUUUGGGCGUAAAGAGCUCGUAGGCGGCUUGUUUGCGUCGACUGUGAAAACCCGCGGCUUAACCGCGGGCUUGCAGUUGAUACGGGCAGGCUAGAGUUUCGGUAGGGGAGACUGGAAAUUCCUGGUGUAGCGGUGAAAUGCGCAGAUAUCAGGAGGAACACCGGUGGCGAAGGCGGGUCUCUGGGCCGAUACUGACGCUGAGGAGCGAAAGCGUGGGGAGCGAACAGG